GGAUCGCUUGAGCCCAGGAGUUCCAGGCAGCCUGGACAACAUAGUGAGACUCUGUGUCUACAAAAAAUUAAAAAAAGAAAGAAAAACACAUGAGGUGUAUGUAUGGAAAAUAUUUAUAGGUCAUUCUUUUGAGCUCCAUGUCCAAAAGCUUGCUAAAAUGCUUGGGAGUGUGUUUACAGGCACGUGAGAUUAGAUAAUACAUGGCAGAAUCGCGAUGUUCUCUGUUACCCUGGUUUUGCCACCUGGGAGGAGUUACACAUAUUGAAGAACCCAAGGAUUGAGAACAAUGGACUUUUUGAUGUGUGUUGCAACAAACGCAUAGCCGAGGGCUGUAAAUCGGAGGGAUCACCAGGUCUGCCUACCAGC
rnacentral:lncRNA from 1 species